UACGUAGGGUGCAAGCGUUGUCCGGAAUUAUUGGGCGUAAAGAGCUCGUAGGCGGUCUGUCGCGUCGGCUGUGAAAACCCGGGGCUCAACCCCGGGCCUGCAGUCGAUACGGGCAGACUAGAGUGUGGUAGGGGAGACUGGAAUUCCUGGUGUAGCGGUGAAAUGCGCAGAUAUCAGGAGGAACACCGGUGGCGAAGGCGGCAUCCUGGACCGAGAUCGACGCUGAGGCGCGAAAGCUAGGGGAGCAAACGGG
rnacentral:rRNA from 1 species